UUCAAGUGCAUCUUCUUCUUUGUCUAAUUUCUUCUCUAUGCAUUUUCUGCAAAAUAAAAAUAUCAUCAUCCUCCAUUCCCCUUCAUCAUCCUACAAUUGCUUCAUAGUGGUGAAAUUGCAUUUUUCGAAAAUAUAUUUCGGGCAAUGCGUCGAUAGCACUGGAUUCAAAAUGCAUUGUAUCGUUGCUGUUAGAGCUUCUAUGCAUUUGGGCUCAGUUCAGUUUCGAUAGGGUUCAAUCGGAGAGUUGAAACACAAUUUAUUGCGCAAUCGCAUAAUCAAGAGCGAGAUUUGAAUGGGUAAGCUGGGAAAGAAGGCGCAAAAAUUUGCGAAGAAGCAUCUUCAGUCCGUGCUGAAGCAGUGGCGAAAGACCAAAGCUUUAUUUAAGAGGAAAGCUCCAAUCACCACUCUGUAAGUAAAGCUAUGGCGUCGCGCUUCAGUUCAAGGAUGGCGCCAAAAUGUAAUCUUUCUCUCAAAACUCCAAAAACCAGAGCUCCACCGCCGUUUGAUUACCCCAAAGAUAUCCCCCAAUUUCUCAGAAACACCUGCAAAUGCAGCGCAUCUUCUCACGGUAAAGAAGCUGCAAGAAGUGUAUAUGCAGUUCUCACAAUCGAUAGAUGGGAGUCGCUGAAUUGCAUGAAAUACAAAACGGCACCGCAUAGGCGAGUUCACGGAAGGUUAGCUCUCAAAUUCUUGAAAUGGGUUGUGAAGCAGCCCGGUUUGGAGCUCGCCCACAUAACUCACUUGUAUUCUAUCACCACCCACAUUCUCGUUAGAGCAAGAAUGUAUGAUUGUGCUAAGUCAACUUUGAAGUAUUUGUCGGACACGGGUUCGGGUCCAAGAUCAGUUUUUUAUGCGCUGAUGGAUACUUAUCCUCUCUGUAAUUCAAACCCUGCUGUUUUUGACCUGUUGAUAAGGGUUUAUGUGAGAAUGGGGGCAAUUGAUGAUGCUUUAGAGGCUUUUCAUUUGAUGUGCUCGAGGGGGUUUAGGCCGUCGAUGUAUAGUUGUAAUAUGAUUCUUGCAGCAAUGGCCAAGGCUCGGCGUGCUGAGCCUGUGUGGCAGUUUUUUGGGGAGGUUAUUGAGAAUGGUCUGUGUCCGAAUGUUGCCACGUUUAACAUAGUGCUGAAUGUGCUUCGUGGGGAGGGGAAAUUGAAGAAGGCGAGUUAUUUACUUGGGAAGAUGGAGGAGAGUGGUUAUGCCCCGACUGUGGUGAGUUAUAAUACGGUGCUGAAUUGGCACUGUAAGAAGGGGAGGUAUAAGGAAGCUAUGCAGCUGUUGGAUCACAUGAAUUUCCGGGGAAUUGAGGCUGAUGUUUGUACAUAUAAUGUGCUUAUAGAUGAUUUGUGUAAGAAUAGCACAAAUGCUAAAGGGUAUCUACUCUUGAAGAAGAUGCGGAAGAGGAUGGUGAUCCCUAAUGAAGUCACGUACAAUACUCUCAUAAAUGGAUUUGUUAAUGAGGGAAAAAUGGGAGUUGCUGGGAAAAUUUAUCAUGAGAUGUGUAAGGUUGAUGUUUCACCGAAUUGUAUCACUUAUAAUGCACUAAUUGAUGGGCAUUGUCGCAGAGGCGAUUUUGUCGAAGCUUAUGGACUUCUUGAUGAAAUGCAAGUGAAGGGAUUGAGGCCGAAUCAGGUUACUUAUGGAUCUCUUUUGGAUGGACUCUGCAAGCAUGGAAAGUUGGAUUCUGCGAGAAAUAUACUUGCGAAGUUAAAGCUCGAUGGAGUUACUGUCAACUCUAUAAUGUAUACUACUCUAAUGGAUGGAGAAUGUGGAAGUGGCAAUCUAGCUGAAGCUAUGGGGUUUCUUGAUGGAAUGUCUAAGAAUAAUAUUCAUCCUGAUAUUGUGACAUAUUCAGUUCUUGUAAAUGGAUUUUCUAAAGCUGGGAGGAUAAAUCAUGCAAAGGAAAUAAUCUGUAAAAUAGUUAGAUCUGGAAUCAGAAUGAACACAAUUGUAUAUUCUACUUUGAUUUGCAAUUUAUGCAGACUGGGAAAUAUCGAUGAAGCAAUCAGAUUUUAUACCAUAAUGCUUCGUAGUGGUCAUUUUCCAGAUGCUUUCAUAUGUAACUUAUUGAUAUCCACUCUUUGUCGAAGUGGAAAUGUGGCGGAGGCAGAGGAAUUCAUGCAUCACAUCCAUAGAAUUGGUCUUGCGAACUCUGCUACCUUCGAUGCAAUUAUUGGUGGUUGUGUAAGUAAAGGAGACGUCUUGAGAGCAUUCAAAUUGUUAGAUAAAAUGGUUGAAUUCGGCUACCAGCCUACCGCCUUGACAUAUGGAACUUUACUGAAGGGACUGUGCAAAGGAGCAGAUCUUCAGGAAGCGCUUGACUUCUUUAGUAAGCUUAGGAAAAUUCCUCAUGCUACAGACAUAGUCACCUACAAUACCAUGGUGGCUGAGUUAUUUGCUCAGGGCUAUUUCGCAUCGGCUCUCAGUCUUAUAGAUGAGAUGGUUGAAAACAACAUGUUUCCUGAUAGUUAUACAUACGGUUGUCUGAUUGCCGGUUUAUGUAUGACCGGGAACGUCUUCACUGCAAUCCUUCUGUUGGAAAGGGGAGUGCAGAGAGGAACUCUUUCUCCGAACCAAUUUAUGUAUUCGAGUAUAAUUAGUGGACUCGUCAAGAUCGGCCAAGGACGAGCUGGCAUUUACUAUUUUGAUGAUUUGGUAAAGCAAGGUCUGAAUCCUGAUAUAGUUACUCUUAAUGCAGUUAUUGAUGCAUGUUCAAGGACAGGAGAGCUCGAUAAGAUGGACUAUGUCCUGUCAGUGAUGGAGAGCCGGGGUUUAACCCCUAGUUUGACUACGUAUAACAUUCUCUUGCAUGGGGAAUCAACACGAAAAAAUAUUUCUGGUGUCUUCGCGUUGUAUGGAGCCAUCUUGAGUACUGGCUACGUUCCUGAUAAAUUUACUUGCCAUUCUGUUAUUCUGGGGCUGUGCAAAUCCGGGAUGCUGGAUGUUGGAGCUAAGUUUUUGAAAAUGAUGAUCGAGAAGGGGACUCGUGCAGAUCAUUUGACAUUUGAUAUGCUUAUAACAGCGUAUAGUCAGAGAGGCGACGUGUCAAAAGCCUUUGAUUUGCUGAAUUUUAUGAAAUUUGUUGGAGUUUCCCCUAGUGAAGUUACCUUCUCUUCUAUCUUCAAUGGUCUUAAAAGAAUAUCAAGAUGCCAUGAAUCCCAUGCUUUACUUCAUGGGAUGGUGGAGAAUGAUUUUAUCCCGACAAUCAGACAGUACUGCAGAUUGAUAACAAAAAUGUGUAGGUGUGGAGAUAUACGUGGCGCUCUUAAGCUUAAAGACGAGAUGGAGGCUCUUGGCAUUAGCUCCCGCCAGGUGGCUGAGAGCGCGUUGGUUAGGGGGCUCGUGCAGAGUGGGAAGACAACAGAUGGGAUGGCCAUGCUGAAAAGCAUGGUGAUGAGCAAGCUCGUUCCGACCAUUCCAACUUUCACUACAGCCAUCCAUGCAUUGUGUAAAGAAUCCAAAAUGUCCGAGGCAAUGGAGUUGAAGCUUCUUAUGGAACGUCAUGGAGCUAUACCGGAUGUUGUGACUUACAACGUUCUUCUCUCUAGCUUCUGCCGGAGUGGUGAACUUGCUCGUGUCUUCAUGCUGUAUGAAGAGAUGAAACGCAGGAGUGUUGCCCCUGAUGCCACCACAUUCUCCAUUCUCAUUGAGGCUGUUUCUGCUGAGAACGAUUCUGUGAGAGUCAAGGAGAUACUGGCUGACUUGGAGGAAGGAGGGUUCAUUAGCCAGAGUUCGACUGGUGAACCUUGGGGUCGGAGAUUGGCUGAUGCUGUGGCAAAUAUAAACCUCGCGAAAGGCAAACCUUGAGGUCAGUAGGUUCUAUUUUGCAGAAACCUGCGCGACUCCUCAGGCUGGCAAGGCAACACAGAUCCAGGAUUCAAUAAUUUCUUAGAAAGCUUCAACAGUGGUGCUAUGACAAU